GAAGGUGGGCCUAGGCUAAGGUACGUGCUAGAAAGGAUGAAAACGGAGUGAAAUUCUUAAGUGAUGGAACUAGGCUAGGGCAUGUUUCUUGCCCUUUAAAAUGUGUUGUCUUCGGGAGACAGGACGUAGAAGAUAGUUGCAGCACAGGGUGAUAGGCUGGCGAAAGUUAUACAAAAGCAGGAACCACUAGAAGGAGAAUUAUAAGGCUGUCUGCAGAGAUUUGAAAAAUGGCAACAAAUGAAAGUGUCAGCAUCUUUAGUUCAGCAUCCUUGGCUGUGGAAUAUGUAGAUUCACUUUUACCUGAGAAUCCUCUGCAAGAACCAUUUAAAAAUGCUUGGAACUAUAUGUUGAAUAAUUAUACAAAGUUCCAGAUUGCAACAUGGGGAUCCCUUAUAGUUCAUGAAGCCCUUUAUUUCUUAUUCUGUUUACCUGGAUUUUUAUUUCAAUUUAUACCUUAUAUGAAAAAAUACAAAAUUCAAAAG
rnacentral:lncRNA from 1 species